rnacentral:rRNA from 1 species
UACGGGGGGGGCAAGCGGUUGUUCGGAAUUACUGGGCGUAAAGGGCGCGUAGGCGGUUCGCUAAGUUGAAUGUGAAAACUCUGGGCUUAACCCAGAGCCUGCAUCCAAAACUGGCGAACUGGAGUACUGGAGGGGAAAGCGGAAUUCCUGGUGUAGCGGUGAAAUGCGUAGAUAUCAGGAGGAACACCGGUGGCGAAGGCGGCUUUCUGGACAGUAACUGACGCUGAGACGCGAAAGCGUGGGGAGCAAACAGG